rnacentral:rRNA from 1 species
UACGGAGGGUGCAAGCGUUGUCCGGAAUCACUGGGCGGAAAGGGCGCGUAGGCGGUUCCUUAAGGGGGUGGUGAAAGCUCAGGGCUCAACUCUGAGUCGGCCAUGCGAACUGGGGGACUCGAGCACUGUAGAGGCAGGUGGAAUUCCGGGUGUAGCGGUGGAAUGCGUAGAGAUCCGGAAGAACACCGGUGGCGAAGGCGGCCUGCUGGGCAGUAGCUGACGCUGAGGAGCGAAAGCGUGGGGAGCGAACAGG